AGAGUUGAUCAUGGCUCAGGAUGAACGCUGGCGGCGUGCUUAACACAUGCAAGUCGAACGGAGUUUUAAACGGAAGUCCUCGGAUGGAAGUUUAGAAACUUAGUGGCGGACGGGUGAGUAACGCGUGGGUAACCUGCCUCAUACAGGGGGAUAACAGUCGGAAACGAUUGCUAAAACCGCAUAACAUAGCGAAACCGCAUGAUUUUGCUAUCAAAUAUUUAUAGGUAUGAGAUGGGCCCGCGUCUGAUUAGCUAGUUGGUGGGGUAAUGGCCUACCAAGGCGACGAUCAGUAGCCGGCUUGAGAGAGUGACCGGCCACAUUGGGACUGAGACACGGCCCAAACUCCUACGGGAGGCAGCAGUGGGGAAUAUUGGACAAUGGGGGAAACCCUGAUCCAGCCGACGCCGCGUGAGUGAAGAAGUAUUUCGGUAUGUAAAGCUCUAUCAGCAGGGAAGAUAAUGACAGUACCUGACUAAGAAGCCCCGGCUAACUACGUGCCAGCCGCCGC
rnacentral:rRNA from 1 species